rnacentral:lncRNA from 1 species
GUUGCCAUCUGCUGGCUUCAUGUCGUAUCUUUCGUCUAAACAGGUGUGUGUACGCCUGUACGGAUGCACAAGAAGUCGAGUCACUUGAGUGAUUAACGUGAGUUAUCAGUUCAAAUCGGCUAUCAAGGAAAUGCUUCAAAACGAAUAAGAACAUGAAUUUUACGUAACUGAGAGAAUGCCCGAUGGGUUUCAGCACCUGAAAACUUCUUGGAAGUUAACUGGCUUAAAGCUUUUCCGAUCCAAAAAAGUUUCUCAAUAUCAGCCAGUUUUUUAGCUUAGCAACAGUCUGCCAAAGUCUCCAAGGAGUCAUCAUGUGGAGGUCCAGAACUUUCUCAGCUGGAGGUUGUCCUAAGGUUUGUGCUAACUGGAAUAGUUCACAAAUAGUUGGAUACCAGGAGAAUCCUUCAGUAGGGAUUUCAGUUGAUGAAAUAUUAUUAAGAAACAGCAACAAUUUCCAUUCCCUGACCAAGAUUCCCUUGUUGGGAAGCUCGUAUCUACCCCAAAAACCUUGAAAGCAAAGCCAUACUAUUCACCAAAGGUUCUAGCGAAAAGAAACACGAAGCUGUCUGACCAGAUGUAGGCAAUCACGCAACGACCUUCCAAGGUCGUAACUACGCAGGUAGAUUACCUCGAGCGUAGCAACGUGAUAAACAAGAGUAGUUAACCAACAAAGGUCUCCCAGUUCUUUUGACGGUUUCACCUUUUUCAAUGGAAUAGGGUCAUUCUUCAAGGGAUAGCAUACUUCAGUCCAUGACGAAACAGAACUACUAUCAUGUCAAUCCUGUUGUCAAAAUCGAAAAAUCCAUCGUUCAUUUUCUAGAAAAAUGAUAUCGUCUUGGAUUUACUUAUUGCCUUUAUCAUUUGAACUUAAAAUCUUGGGCUUAAUCCUGUUUCUUUCUUCUUUCUUCAAUAGAAACCAUAGCUAUUCAUGGAUUUCUUAAUGGAUACGAUUGACAGUUCGAGGGAAUCACGUCCACGUGAAAAUUCUUAACGAGAACUUACGUCUCGUAAGAAACUUUUCUGCCAUGGAGCAAUGGGUCCAUCUCCAUCCUCCAGAUCAAGGAAUUGUCAAACUUGAUUCGUCGUUUUUCACCAUUUUAUGGAUGGAUGCCCAAAAAUGGGAGGUUAGUGAAAGUUGUUGUAGACUAAAAAAAAUAUCUUAUACUUUGUGUGUUAAGAAAAUGAAUAUGGAAGUAAAAGUGUGUCGGACACUAGCGAAAUUUCUUUUGGCAUCAUUUUGACAUAGAACCAGUAAUUCACGCGCUGUAAUUUGAAACAGCAAUUUAGAUUACCUGGAAGAAGUUAGUUUAUAUUGUUUCGUCUGUGAAGUGGCGAUUCGUAUUUCAAAGUUUGUUAUCGAUAUAGGAAAGCAGGGUUUGAUUUCAGUUUCUCAUGUAACUUGGUACUUUCUCUGCGACUGUCAUACGAAAUAUAUCUUGCAGGUGGAUGAAUAUUGAAAGUAUAGGCGGUGGAAGAUGGAUUUGUCUGAUGGAUUCCUGAUGAAUGAGAAUUGCGUUUGGAAUGUUCAAACUUCUUCACGCGAUACUUUUUAUCUUUCUGUCGCCUAUUGUCAAAAAUCGCUGUUUCACGUUUUUUUCCCGCUUACAUUUGCUAUGGAAAUGUGUGUGUCAUGCCAUCUGUUGGCAUUCAUUCAGUAUCAGUUGAAUGUUGGUUUUCGGCCAAACUAGUAUUGAACAGCCGUAUUUGGUCACCUAUAAGAUCGUUGGAAGAAAGUGAUAACGAACAUUAACCUUUCCAAAACUACUAGGAUGCAAUCUCUUUUUUUUCUAGUCUUUGCAUUGAUCUUAAACUUUUUUAUAAAUGCAAAACUUUUGCUUAACAAUUAUUUUUUAAUUACUGAUAUCAUUCUUCCGGAAAAUAGGCGCUUUUUUCUGUGUUUGACGGAUACCUACGUACCCUUUCAUAUGCCAUCUCUUCGAGUUCGUCUACUCAAACAUCUUUCCUUUUAGAUGGACUGCCGAAAACUUGGACGUUUCACGUAGUACAGCCUAUGUCUCUGCACAAAAAUAUAUAAUGUCUCGCUUUGAAGAUUUAAAAAGUUAUUUCGUACCGAGAAAGUAAUUUCCCGAUAGGGAUUCUUUCAAAACUCCAUUCCCUUGUGUCCAUGUCCAUCCGGAUUUCAACCAUCUUUUUCCCCGGAACUCCAUAGAUGGCACCACAUUCGCGGGGUUAUCGGUGCUUUAACUUCGAUGCUGUGCCGCGGACAUGGGUACCAUCUUGUAAUGCAGAUAAUUAUGCUUGCAGCGUCGAGGUCCCGUAAUUAUCGGCUGAACGAUGAAGGAGUGCGACUAGCCGGCCGACUCGAGUUUCGGCAGUUUUUUCUUCGCGAUAGAUGGCGAUAGAUGGCGUUGGGCAAAACUAUGGAAUAAAAGGCCGCGAACUUUUCAAGGUGUGGUUUUGCGUCUCCUAGCAACAGUCAAAGUCACGCAAUUCGCUCCGUAAUUGUCAUGUCGUCGAUCGUUAUUUUGCUACGGCUGCAAGUCCCCUGAAAGACUUGUUUUUUUUUCGUCAAUUAUUGUUAGUUUUUACAUAAGACCAGAUACGACUUACGAAUCUGUUUCAUAAUCUAUCUAUCGCAUUCGUUAUACGUUUAUUUUCAUUGUUAAUACGAUCAGCCAACUCCUCAACUGCAGCAAUUUCUGCAGAACUAAAUUUAUGAAGGUUACAGAGGAGUGUGUGCAUAAGGUAUGAAAGCUAUCCAUGUCACCAGAUAUGCAAACAGAUGGAGGGUCUAACAUCGCUGUUUGAUGAAAUGUUGGUGGUACUAGAUAUUUUUAUACCCCAGAACAGAAUGUCAAUCCUAAUCAAGAAGAUUGAGCUGUCCAGAAUCAUGGGAGCCGAACAACCAAUAAAAUAGCUCACAUUUCACUUUUGAGCAGAAGAAUUCAGUUUCCAUACCAAUCGGUCUAACAUAACAACAACCAAUUCAUAUGUUUUCAGUUCACAAGUUAGAGCUGCUUGACCUUGUCAAAUGAAAUUAAGGCAUUAUUAACAUUAGAUUGUGCUUCAUUUCCAAUCAAAAGAAACUAUGUGCCAUUAUUAUUAUUAGAUCGUUUAUUUCCAGGAUUCAACUAACUAUUAUAUUUUUAUAACAAUGUAACCAUAGCAGUGAACCUGGUAUGGCCGAAAUGAUAUGCAGGAACUUAGAGCGGAUCAAAAUAAUUUAAAGCCAUAUAUAAAAUUUUUAUGCUGCUGGAUCACCCCUAUUUCGAACUACGAGCAUUACAUGAUCAAAUCGCCGCAAUACUGCACAACUUAAACACAAGAAUUUCCCGAUCAAAUCGCAGAAGUACUCCACAGCCACAUAUGUAUCUCCCAAAUACUACACCAGGAAGCACCUGAAUACAACACCGACACCUAUCCCACUCCCAGCUACUACACUGAAGCUUCAAAAUAUUAAUUUGCUACAAGUUAACAUGCGGAAGCUCAGGUUUACCACACUUUUAUAUAUGUGUCUCACCAAGCUAUGCUACCAAGACAUCGGAGUACUAUCCGACUAUACCUGAGCAUUGCACAGGGACUUCUGUUACAUUCACCUAUUAUACCGAAGCUACCGAAAUACCACUCUGACCCGAGCUACUACACCGCUGCUGCCGUAUCUUAUUACGUCGAGCCUAACUACGAACUAUAACUUAUGCCGCGCGCGCCGCCGCUUACUACACUGAAGCUCUCAGGUGCCAUUCGGCUGCAGGCUACUUUGCUGAGUCUUCAUUUUACUAUACUACCACGUAUGCCACUCGUAGCUCUUAUAUUAAAGCCCCAAAAUACUACACUACAAAUGGUGCCGAGUACUACACCCCAGCUCUGGAAUACUACACCUCCAGAAGGUGGAAUAUCAUACUACAACCAAAAUUCCUAAAUUUCCUAAUGGUUAUGUGACGUAUGCCAUUAUGACCCGCACUUCUAAAGCUUGAAUGGUUUGAGGUCUAUCCCUUAUGAUGCUUGGUGAAUAAAAUUUCGGUCAAGUUCUGUGACACAAAAUUCAU